rnacentral:rRNA from 1 species
AGCAGCCGCGGUAAUUCCAGCUCCAAUAGCGUAUAUUAAAGUUGCUGCAGUUAAAAAGCUCGUAGUUGAAUUUCGGGACUAAUAUGUCGGUCGUGCCUCGGUACGUACUGGCUUAUUGGUUUCUCCUUUCUGAAGAACCAUGAUGUCAUUUAUUUGGUGUCGUGGGGAAUCAGGACUGUUACUUUGAAAAAUUAGAGUGUUUAAAGCAGGCUCACGCUUGAAUACAUUAGCAUGGAAUAAUGAAAUAGGACGUUUGAUUCUAUUUUGUUGGUUUCUAGGAUCGACGUAAUGAUUAAUAGGGAUAGUUGGGGGCAUUAGUAUUCAAUUGUCAGAGGUGAAAUUCUUGGAUUUAUUGAAGACUAACUACUGCGAAAGCAUUUGCCAAGGAUGUUUUCAUUAAUCAAGAACGAAAGUUAGGGGAUCGAAGACGAUCAGAUACCGUCGUAGUCUUAACCAUAAACUAUGCCGACUAGGGAUCGGAUGAUGUUUAAUUU